rnacentral:rRNA from 1 species
AUAUGGGGGGACCAUCCUCCAAGGCUAAAUACUCCUGACUGACCGAUAGUGAACCAGUACCGUGAGGGAAAGGCGAAAAGAACCCCGGCGAGGGGAGUGAAAAAGAACCUGAAACCGUGUACGUACAAGCAGUGGGAGCACGCUUAGGCGUGUGACUGCGUACCUUUUGUAUAAUGGGUCAGCGACUUAUAUUCUGUAGCAAGGUUAACCGAAUAGGGGAGCCGAAGGGAAACCGAGUCUUAACUGGGCGUUAAGUUGCAGGGUAUAGACCCGAAACCCGGUGAUCUAGCCAUGGGCAGGUUGAAGGUUGGGUAACACUAACUGGAGGACCGAACCGACUAAUGUUGAAAAAUUAGCGGAUGACUUGUGGCUGGGGGUGAAAGGCCAAUCAAACCGGGAGAUAGCUGGUUCUCCCCGAAAGCUAUUUAGGUAGCGCCUCGUGAAUUCAUCUCCGGGGGUAGAGCACUGUUUCGGCA